CCUACGGGAGGCAGCAGUGAGGAAUAUUGGUCAAUGGACGCAAGUCUGAACCAGCCAUGCCGCGUGCAGGAAGACGGCUCUAUGAGUUUUAAACUGCUUUUGUACGAGGGUAAACGCAGAUACGCGUAUCUGUCUGAAAGUACCGUACCAAUAAGGAUCGGCUAACUCCGUGCCAUCAGCCGCGGGAAUACGGAGGAUUCAAGCGUUAUCCGGAUUUAUUGGGUUUAAAGGGUGCGUAGGCGGUCGGAUAAGUUAGAGGUGAAAUCCCCUGGCUCAACUUCGGAAUUGCAUCUGAUACUGUUAGGCUAGAGAGUAGUUGCGGUAGGCGGAAUGUAUGGUGUAGCGGUGAAAUGCUUAGAGAUCAGACAGAACACCGGUGGCGAAGGCAGCUUACCGGGCUACUUCUGACGUUGAGGCACGAAAGCGUGGGGAGCAAACAGGAUUAGAUACCCUGGUAGUC
rnacentral:rRNA from 1 species